rnacentral:tRNA from 1 species
AAGGAGUUAGUUAAAAAAAUAACAUUAGAAUGUCAAUCUAAAAUAACUAAAAUAGUACCCCUUG